UACAGAGGUCCCAAGCGUUGUUCGGAUUCACUGGGCGUAAAGGGUGCGUAGGCGGGUCUUUAAGUCAGGGGUGAAAUCCUGGAGCUCAACUCCAGAACUGCCCUUGAUACUGAAGGUCUUGAGUUCGGGAGAGGUGAGUGGAACUGCGAGUGUAGAGGUGAAAUUCGUAGAUAUUCGCAAGAACACCAGUGGCGAAGGCGGCUCACUGGCCCGAUACUGACGCUGAGGCACGAAAGCGUGGGGAGCAAACAGG
rnacentral:rRNA from 1 species